UCUCCUGUAGCUCAGUGGUAGAGCGUCCGACCGGUGUGCAGAAGGUCAUAGGUUCGACGUCUGUUGAGAGAA